rnacentral:misc_RNA from 1 species
UCCGGUUUGUCACCGGCAGUCUCAUUAGAGUGCCCUUUCGUAGCAACUAAUGACAAGGGUUGCGCUCGUUGCGGGACUUAACCCAACAUCUCACGACACGAGCUGACGACAGCCAUGCAGCACCUGUGUUCCGGUUCUCUUGCGAGCACUGCCUAAUCUCUUAAGCAUUCCAGACAUGUCAAGGGUAGGUAAGGUUUUUCGCGUUGCAUCGAAUUAAUCCACAUCAUCCACCGCUUGUGCGGGUCCCCGUCAAUUCCUUUGAGUUUUAAUCUUGCGACCGUACUCCCCAGGCGGUCAACUUCACGCGUUAGCUGCGCUACUAAGGCCCGAGGGCCCCAACAGCUAGUUGACAUCGUUUAGGGCGUGGACUAC